rnacentral:lncRNA from 1 species
CUAACACUCUACCUGCAUAUAACCCAGUCCUGACCGCUGGGCUCACGGGUUGACACAAGCAACCACUUUUCCGGAAAAGAACACUCCUUGCGGUGGAUCAGACCGCCAGUGUUCGUGAAAUGCGACGAGUCGGGCGAUCAAUGCUGAUAUGCUCAAAGGCCAACCGUCGGCAACCAGCCGACAAUCCUGCCCACAGGGCUCACCGACCGUAUAGGUCAUCGAUUGUGAAGAAGCACAAAAAC